rnacentral:lncRNA from 1 species
ACUUACAAGACCAAGUGCUUGCGGCAUUUGCGAGUUUUCGCUCACUCAUGUUCGAGGGAAAAUUGCUUGCGUGCAUGGGGAGGAUGGAUGCGUUUGACCAUAAGAAGCACCCAAAAUCCUAAAAUUGUAGAUCGCCUGUCGUCACACGCCAUGCCACGUGUGAAAAUGUCUGUUGUUUAGCUUAGUGAGAGGCAAGUAGGUCGGACUCGGGGGUCAGUUUCAGAGCAAUUGAGGCAAAGGGGUUGGGCCAUGAGACCAUGUGCCUAAUUAGCACCAUUGUCAAAAUGGACGUUUUCCAAUUCCAGGUAAAACACGAGGCGUUCCCAGUGUGACUUCGAUCACGCAGCCACGGCAGCCAGGUCUAACAACGGGCUUGUGAGGUGCCUCGGACUACAAGGUUGCACGGUUUCAACAUCUGCGAAGUAGUUAGUGGUUUGCGCCUGCCAUUCUAGUCUUCACGGAUGUUCAUUGUGGCUUUCCAGGUUACUUGGAUAGGGACUCGGUGAUAUGCCCGCAUGCAGGUUUGGGCAGGGAACAUCACAAGAACUUACAAGACCAAGUGCUUGCGGCAUUUGCGAGUUUUCGCUCACUCAUGUUCGAGGGAAACAUGCUUGCGUGCAUGGGGAGGAUGGAUGCGUUUGACCUUAAGAAGCACCCAAAAUCACGCGUGAAAAAAUGUCUGUUGUUUAGAUUAGUGAGAGGCAAGUAGGUCGGACUCGGGGGUCAGUUUCAGAGGAAUUGAGGGAAGGGGGUUGGGCCAUGAGACCAUGUGCCUAAUUAGCACCAUUGUCAAAAAUGGACGUUUUCCAAUUCCAGGCAAAACACGAGGCGUUCCCAGUGUGACUUCGAUCACGCAGCCACGGCAGCCAGGUCUAACAACGGGCUUGUGAGGUGCCUCGGACUACAAGGUUGCACGGUUUCAACAUCUGCGAAGUAGUUAGUGGUUUGCGCCUGCCAUUCUAGUCUUCACGGAUGUUCAUUGUGGCUUUCCAGGUUACUUGGAUAGGGACUCGGUGAUAUGCCCGCAUGCAGGUUUGGGCAGGGAACAUCACAAGAACUUACAAGACCAAGUGCUUGCGGCAUUUGCGAGUUUUCGCUCACUCAUGUUCGAGGGAAACAUGCUUGCGUGCAUGGGGAGGAUGGAUGCGUUUGACCUUAAGAAGCACCCAAAAUCCUAAAAUUGUAGAUCGCCUGUCGUCACACGCAUGCCACGCUGAAAAUGUCUGUUAUUUAAUUAGUGAGAGGCAAGUAGGUCGGACUCGGGGGUCAGUUUCAGAGGAAUUGAGGGAAGGGGGUGGGGCCAUGAGACCAUGUGCCUUAUUAGCACCAUUGUCAAAAAUGGACGUUUCCCAAUUCCAGGCAAAACACGAGGCGUUCCCAGUGUGACUUCGAUCACGCAGCCACGGCAGCCAGGUCUAACAACGGGCUUGUGAGGUGCCUCGGACUACAAGGUUGCACGGUUUCAACAUCUGCGAAGUAGUUAGUGGUUUGCGCCUGCCAUUCUAGUCUUCACGGAUGUUCAUUGUGGCUUUCCAGGUUACUUGGAUAGGGACUCGGUGAUAUGCCCGCAUGCAGGUUUGGGCAGGGAACAUCACAAGAACUUACAAGACCAAGUGCUUGCGGCAUUUGCGAGUUUUCGCUCACUCAUGUUCGAGGGAAACAUGCUUGCGUGCAUGGGGAGGAUGGAUGCGUUUGACCUUAAGAAGCACGCCAUGCCACGCGUGAAAAUGUCUGUUGUUUAGAUUAGUGAGAGGCAAGUAGGUCGGACUCGGGGGUCAGUUUCAGAGGAAUUGAGGGAAGGGGGUUGGGCCAUGAGACCAUGUGCCUAAUUAGCACCAUUGUCAAAAAUGGACGUUUUCCAAUUCCAGGCAAAACACGAGGCGUUCCCAGUGUGACUUCGAUCACGCAGCCACGGCAGCCAGGUCUAACAACGGGCUUGUGAGGUGCCUCGGACUACAAGGUUGCACGGUUUCAACAUCUGCGAAGUAGUUAGUGGUUUGCGCCUGCCAUUCUAGUCUUCACAGAUGUUCAUUGUGGCUUUCCAGGUUACUUGGAUAGGGACUCGGUGAUAUGCCCGCAUGCAGGUUUGGGCAGGGAACAUCACAAGAACUUACAAGACCAAGUGCUUGCGGCAUUUGCGAGUUUUCGCUCACUCAUGUUCGAGGGAAAAUUGCUUGCGUGCAUGGGGAGGAUGGAUGCGUUUGACCUUAAGAAGCACCCAAAAUCCUAAAAUUGUGAUCGCUGUAGAACACGCCACACGGUGAAAAUGUCUGUUGUUUAGAUUAGUGAGAGGCAAGUAGGUCGGACUCGGGGGUCAGUUUCAGAGGAAUUGAGGGAAGGGGGUUGGGCCAUGAGACCAUGUGCCUAAUUAGCACCAUUGUCAAAAAUGGACGUUUUCCAAUUCCAGGUAAAACACGAGGCGUUCCCAGUGUGACUUCGAUCACGCAGCCACGGCAGCCAGGUAUAACAACGGGCUUGUGAGGUGCCUCGGACUACAAGGUUGCACGGUUUCAACAUCUGCGAAGUAGUUAGUGGUUUGCGCCUGCCAUUCUAGUCUUCACGGAUGUUCAUUGUGGCUUUCCAGGUUACUUGGAUAGGGACUCGGUGAUAUGCCCGCAUGCGGGUUUGGGCAGGGAACAUCACAAGAACUUACAAGACCAAGUGCUUGCGGCAUUUGCGAGUUUUCGCUCACUCAUGUUCGAGGGAAACAUGCUUGCGUGCAUGGGGAGGAUGGAUGCGUUUGACCUUAAGAAGCACCCAAAAUCCUAAAAUUGUAGAUCGCCUGUCGUCACACGCCAUGCCACGUGUGAAAAUGUCUGUUGUUUAGCUUAGUGAGAGGCAAGUAGGUCGGACUCGGGGGUCAGUUUCAGAGCAAUUGAGGGAAGGGCGUUGGGCCAUGAGACCAUGUGCCUAAUUAGCACCAUUGUCAAAAAUGGACGUUUUCCAAUUCCAGGUAAAACACGAGGCGUUCCCAGUGUGACUUCGAUCACGCAGCCACGGCAGCCAGGUAUAACAACGGGCUUGUGAGGUGCCUCGGACUACAAGUUGCACGGUUUCAACAUCUGCGAAGUAGUUAGUGGUUUGCGCCUGCCAUUCUAGUCUUCACAGAUGUUCAUUGUGGCUUUCCAGGUUACUUGGAUAGGGACUCGGUGAUAUGCCCGCAUGCGGGUUUGGGCAGGGAACAUCACAAGAACUUACAAGACCAAGUGCUUGCGGCAUUUGCGAGUUUUCGCUCACUCAUGUUCGAGGGAAAAUUGCUUGCGUGCAUGGGGAGGAUGGAUGCGUUUGACCUUAAGAAGCACCCAAAAUCCUAAAAUUGUAGAUCGCCUGUCGUCACACGCCAUGCCACGUGUGAAAAUGUCUGUUGUUUAGCUUAGUGAGAGGCAAGUAGGUCGGACUCGGGGGUCAGUUUCAGAGCAAUUGAGGGAAGGGCGUGGGGCCAUGAGACCAUGUGCCUAAUUAGCACCAUUGUCAAAAAUGGACGUUUUCCAAUUCCAGGUAAAACACGAGGCGUUCCCAGUGUGACUUCGAUCACGCAGCCACGGCAGCCAGGUAUAACAACGGGCUUGUGAGGUGCCUCGGACUACAAGUUGCACGGUUUCAACAUCUGCGAAGUAGUUAGUGGUUUGCGCCUGCCAUUCUAGUCUUCACAGAUGUUCAUUGUGGCUUUCCAGGUUACUUGGAUAGGGACUCGGUGAUAUGCCCGCAUGCGGGUUUGGGCAGGGAACAUCACAAGAACUUACAAGACCAAGUGCUUGCGGCAUUUGCGAGUUUUCGCUCACUCAUGUUCGAGGGAAAAUUGCUUGCGUGCAUGGGGAGGAUGGAUGCGUUUGACCUUAAGAAGCACCCAAAAUCCUAAAAUUGUAGAUCGCCUGUCGUCACACGCCAUGCCACGCGUGAAAAUGUCUGUUAUUUAGCUUAGUGAGAGGCAAGUAGGUCGGACUCGGGGGUCAGUUUCAGAGCAAUUGAGGGAAGGGGGUGGGGCCAUGAGACCAUGUGCCUAAUUAGCACCAUUGUCAAAAAUGGACGUUUUCCAAUUCCAGGUAAAACACGAGGCGUUCCCAGUGUGACUUCGAUCACGCAGCCACGGCAGCCAGGUAUAACAACGGGCUUGUGAGGUGCCUCGGACUACAAGUUGCACGGUUUCAACAUCUGCGAAGUAGUUAGUGGUUUGCGCCUGCCAUUCUAGUCUUCACAGAUGUUCAUUGUGGCUUUCCAGGUUACUUGGAUAGGGACUCGGUGAUAUGCCCGCAUGCGGGUUUGGGCAGGGAACAUCACAAGAACUUACAAGACCAAGCGCUUGCGGCAUUUGCGAGUUUUCGCUCACUCAUGUUCGAGGGAAAAUUGCUUGCGUGCAUGGGGAGGAUGGAUGCGUUUGACCUUAAGAAGCACCCAAAAUCCUAAAAUUGUAGAUCGCCUGUCGUCACACGCCAUGCCACGUGUGAAAAUGUCUGUUGUUUAGCUUAGUGAGAGGCAAGUAGGUCGGACUCGGGGGUCAGUUUCAGAGCAAUUGAGGGAAGGGCGUUGGGCCAUGAGACCAUGUGCCUAAUUAGCACCAUUGUCAAAAAUGGACGUUUUCCAAUUCCAGGUAAAACACGAGGCGUUCCCAGUGUGACUUCGAUCACGCAGCCACGGCAGCCAGGUAUAACAACGGGCUUGUGAGGUGCCUCGGACUACAAGUUGCACGGUUUCAACAUCUGCGAAGUAGUUAGUGGUUUGCGCCUGCCAUUCUAGUCUUCACAGAUGUUCAUUGUGGCUUUCCAGGUUACUUGGAUAGGGACUCGGUGAUAUGCCCGCAUGCGGGUUUGGGCAGGGAACAUCACAAGAACUUACAAGACCAAGCGCUUGCGGCAUUUGCGAGUUUUCGCUCACUCAUGUUCGAGGGAAAAUUGCUUGCGUGCAUGGGGAGGAUGGAUGCGUUUGACCUUAAGAAGCACCCAAAAUCCUAAAAUUGUAGAUCGCCUGUCGUCACACGCCAUGCCACGUGUGAAAAUGUCUGUUGUUUAGCUUAGUGAGAGGCAAGUAGGUCGGACUCGGGGGUCAGUUUCAGAGCAAUUGAGGGAAGGGGGUGGGGCCAUGAGACCAUGUGCCUAAUUAGCACCAUUGUCAAAAAUGGACGUUUUCCAAUUCCAGGUAAAACACGAGGCGUUCCCAGUGUGACUUCGAUCACGCAGCCACGGCAGCCAGGUAUAACAACGGGCUUGUGAGGUGCCUCGGACUACAAGUUGCACGGUUUCAACAUCUGCGAAGUAGUUAGUGGUUUGCGCCUGCCAUUCUAGUCUUCACAGAUGUUCAUUGUGGCUUUCCAGGUUACUUGGAUAGGGACUCGGUGAUAUGCCCGCAUGCGGGUUUGGGCAGGGAACAUCACAAGAACUUACAAGACCAAGCGCUUGCGGCAUUUGCGAGUUUUCGCUCACUCAUGUUCGAGGGAAAAUUGCUUGCGUGCAUGGGGAGGAUGGAUGCGUUUGACCUUAAGAAGCACCCAAAAUCCUAAAAUUGUAGAUCGCCUGUCGUCACACGCCAUGCCACGUGUGAAAAUGUCUGUUGUUUAGCUUAGUGAGAGGCAAGUAGGUCGGACUCGGGGGUCAGUUUCAGAGCAAUUGAGGGAAGGGCGUUGGGCCAUGAGACCAUGUGCCUAAUUAGCACCAUUGUCAAAAAUGGACGUUUUCCAAUUCCAGGUAAAACACGAGGCGUUCCCAGUGUGACUUCGAUCACGCAGCCACGGCAGCCAGGUAUAACAACGGGCUUGUGAGGUGCCUCGGACUACAAGUUGCACGGUUUCAACAUCUGCGAAGUAGUUAGUGGUUUGCGCCUGCCAUUCUAGUCUUCACAGAUGUCCAUUGUGGCUUUCCAGGUUACUUGGAUAGGGACUCGGUGAUAUGCCCGCAUGCGGGUUUGGGCAGGGAACAUCACAAGAACUUACAAGACCAAGUGCUUGCGGCAUUUGCGAGUUUUCGCUCACUCAUGUUCGAGGGAAAAUUGCUUGCGUGCAUGGGGAGGAUGGAUGCGUUUGACCUUAAGAAGCACCCAAAAUCCUAAAAUUGUAGAUCGCCUGUCGUCACACGCCAUGCCACGCGUGAAAAUGUCUGUUAUUUAGCUUAGUGAGAGGCAAGUAGGUCGGACUCGGGGGUCAGUUUCAGAGGAAUUGAGGGAAGGGGGUGGGGCCAUGAGACCAUGUGCCUAAUUAGCACCAUUGUCAAAAAUGGACGUUUUCCAAUUCCAGGUAAAACACGAGGCGUUCCCAGUGUGACUUCGAUC